CCGGCAUGGCACGUGGGCCGUGGGAACCAUCAGGCCGGACGGCCCCCAGGACGCCUGGAGCAGCAAGAGACGUCUCGCUGCGGUGGAGCCCGGGACUGCGGAAACCUGACGCCCCCAUCGCCCUCCCUGGGCUGUGGGGCCCCUGAGUCCCUUCUGCUCCCCAGGGCAGGAGGGUCUCAGCCCUGUGUCCCCUCAGCGGCUCCCCUGCUCCUGCCCGUCCAUCCCACCCCUUGCUCUGCCCCUAGGGGAGGAGGGUCCCACCAUCCCCCCACCCCAACCCGGCCCUCCCGGGCCCCAGUGGUCGCAUCGUGAUGGCUUCCAUCAGUGGCAAUCAUCUGAAGUUAAAAAGAGAAAGGAAAAAACCCAAAACACCUGCUUUGCCAUUAAUCUGAGGACGACAGGACUCGUAAUUAAACUCUGGAGAUGUGCAAUCCUUCACCGAGCGAUCCUGUCACUCAGGAUUCCCCGCACCUCGUUGCCCACACGAAGCUGAGCCUUCCACCGUGGAUGCUGCAGCACGAGUUCGACUUCACCCUCUCUGCAGACAGGCUGUUCUCCCUGGGGGAGCAAGCAGGGAGGGGCCUCGAGGACGAGGCCUCACAUUGACUGGCAGGUGCUCUGGGGGAGGGGGAGGAGGGGAGGAAGGAGA
rnacentral:lncRNA from 12 species